rnacentral:rRNA from 1 species
GACGAACGCUGGCGGCAUGCCUAACACAUGCAAGUCGAACGGUAAGGCUUCCUUCGGGGAGUACACGAGUGGCGAACGGGUGAGUAACACGUGGGUAACCUACCCUUGACUGGGGGACAACCGAGGGAAACUUCGGCUAAUACCGCAUAACGUGCAUUGCCUCAAGGUGGUGUACCAAAGCUCCGGCGGUUAAGGAUGGGCCCGCGGCAGGUUAGCUUGUUGGUGGGGUAACGGCUUACCAAGGCGACGAUCUGUAGCGGGUCGGAGAGGACGAUCAGCCACACUGGAACUGAGACACGGUCCAGACUCCUACGGGAGGCAGCAGUGGGGGAUCUUGCGCAAUGGGCGAAAGCCUGACGCAGCAAUGCCGCGUGAGGGAAGACGGCCUUAGGGUUGUAAACCUCUUUCAGCAGGGACGAACACAGACGGUACCUGCAGAAGAAGCCCCGGCUAACUACGUGCCAGCCGCCGCCGUAA